GAUGAAGAACGUAGUGAAAUGCGAUAAGUAAUGUGAAUUGCAGAAUCCAGUGAAUCAUCGAAUCUUUGAACGCACAUUGCGCCGGCCAGUAUUCUGGCGGGCAUGCCUGUCUGAGCGUCAUUUCAACCCUCGCAACCAGCUUGCUGGAUGCGGUGUUGGGGAUCGGCCCCCCGUACUGGGAGGCCGUCCCUUAAAUAGAGUGGCGGUUGCGCUGUGACCUCCUCUGCGUAGUAGCAAUAUCUCGCAAGCGGAUAGCGGUGUAACCACGCCGUAAAACCCCCAACUCUUCUUUGGUUGACCUCAGAUCAGGUAGGAAUACCCGCUGAACUUAAGCAUAUCAAUAAGCGGAGGA
rnacentral:misc_RNA from 1 species